rnacentral:lncRNA from 1 species
GUAGUGAAAUCUUGAUGCUGAAGAAGUGAAAAACUUUUCAUGAGCAACAAAGGAAAGUAUCCAGGUUCUGGUCUAGUAGGGAAACUGCAUGUGGUUAAAGACCUGACAGAAGUCUGUGCAACUGGGGUAAGAAGUUACAGGAUCUUCAAAUCUCCAUGUCCUGAUCCCGUUUUAGAAGUUUUGGUUACUACUAGGUCCCAUGAUCCUAGCUUCAUGUGUUCUUUUCCAAAUGUAGCUACAUGCAAGAGUUCUUAAGUGUCCUGCUCAUCUCCUACCCAUCAACACAAGUUCUUCCCAGUCAUCUCCCAAUAUUUCUCCUCACAAUGUCACAAGACACACCCAUUCUGUAUCCCCCACAUGACCCUGUAAUUUUCCUAUUUUCCUACAGUGGAUGUCAUGCUGAAUCCAGCCAAUGUUAUUUCUGUUGUUAUCAUGUUUGAAGAUCAGAUACAAGUGACACUUACAUUUUAAGAUUUUUUAAAAUGUACAUCCACAUGAUUUCUCUGCUUUUGACGUCUUAGGCCACCAAAGUUUCCUCUCAGGGAAAUAUUACUGGGAGGUAGAAAUGUCUAGGAAGAUUGCCUGGAUCCUCGGGGUAUGAAGUAAAACAAGUAACCAAUAGAAAUGAGAUCUCUGGGUUUAUUUUUGGCCAAAAAGUUAAUCAUCCAAAUUUUUAUUCCAGAUACAGACCUCAAUAUGGCUACUGGGUUAUAGGGUUACAGAAUGAAUUUGAGUACAAUGCCUUUGAGGACUCUUCCAGCUCCUAUCCCCAGGUUUUGACUCUCCAUGGCUGUUCCUCCCGGGCUCAUUGUUUUUUUCCUAGACUAUGAAGCAAG